GUGAAUCAUCGAAUUUUUGAACGCAAAUUGCACUUUCCGGUAUUCCGGAAAGUAUGCCUGUUUGAGGGUUAGUUAAAUAAAAAUCGGAGAUGUUGCUGCCUAUCGUGUUGACGCGUCGGUAGUGGGUCGUCUUACCUUAGGCUUUGUGUUUUAAAAUUUUUGCAUGAUAAUAGAUCGUAUUUAAAUCGCUUACGUACGUUUGAGAUAUUGAAUGCUUAUUAGUUUCGGUCAUUCCCAUGAUUCGUUACUAUAAU
rnacentral:misc_RNA from 1 species